GCUUAAUGGGUUUAAUCUAAAUAUAGAUAGAAACAUUGAAAACAUGUCAAAGUCAAUGGGUGCCAGAAAUCACUUAUUCGUAAGACAAAGCUAGGUAAAGGAAACCAAAAAAUACAGGAUAGUCAGGGUAAGGCCAUGUCAAUUACCAAAAUAGACAAUAGAUGAAUUAAGCACACUCUUAGGACACCAAGAAUUCACAACUGCUCAAUCUGAUUGAUAUCUAGGGAAUUUGGGGGCCA